UACGUAGGUGGCAAGCGUUGUCCGGAUUUACUGGGCGUAAAGAGCGCGCAGGCGGUCGUUCAAGUCGCGUGUGAAAGCCCCCGGCUCAACUGGGGAGGGUCACGCGAUACUGAUCGACUCGAAUCCAGGAGAGGUGAGUGGAAUUCCGAGUGUAGAGGUGAAAUUCGUAGAUAUUCGGAAGAACACCAGUGGCGAAGGCGGCUCACUGGACUGGUAUUGACGCUGAGGUGCGAAAGCGUGGGGAGCAAACAGG
rnacentral:rRNA from 1 species